rnacentral:rRNA from 1 species
UAAUUGAAGAGGUUUGGAAAGACCCACCACAGAAGGUAAUAGUCCUGUAUGUUAAACGAGAAGACUUUAGAUAUGAUCCAGAGUACCACGGGACACGUGAAACCCUGUGGGAAGCAGGAGGGACCACCCUCCAAGGCUAAAUACUACCUAGUGACCGAUAGCGUAUAGUACCGUGAGGGAAAGGUGAAAAGAACCCCGGGAGGGGAGUGAAAUAGAACCUGAAACCCUGCACUUACAAGCUGUGGAAGCACAUUUCUUGUGUGACCGCGUACUUUUUGUAGAACGGGCCAACGAGUUACGUUAAGUAG